CUACGGGUGGCUGCAGUGGGGAAUAUUGCACAAUGGGCGCAAGCCUGAUGCAGCCAUGCCGCGUGUAUGAAGAAGGCCUUCGGGUUGUAAAGUACUUUCAGCGGGGAGGAAGGGAGUAAAGUUAAUACCUUUGCUCAUUGACGUUACCCGCAGAAGAAGCACCGGCUAACUCCGUGCCAGCAGCCGCGGUAAUACGGAGGGUGCAAGCGUUAAUCGGAAUUACUGGGCGUAAAGCGCACGCAGGCGGUUUGUUAAGUCAGAUGUGAAAUCCCCGGGCUCAACCUGGGAACUGCAUCUGAUACUGGCAAGCUUGAGUCUCGGAGAGGGGGGUAGAAUUCCAGGUGUAGCGGUGAAAUGCGUAGAGAUCUGUAGGAAUACCGGUGGCGAAGGCGGCCCCCUGGACGAAGACUGACGCUCAGGUGCGAAAGCGUGGGGAGCAAACAGGAUUAGAUACCCUUGUAGUC
rnacentral:rRNA from 1 species